AGAAACCCUUACUCAAUUGAAACCCUUACUCAUUACCCUAACUACGCCGUGAGGCUGUUGUCCUGGUUGGCCUCUGCGACGAUCUCCGAUCCUCUGGCAUUUACUGACGACCUUCUCUGUGACAUCUCCUCCGGCAUCGAUCUCCAUCGACGACAUCUCCUACAGCGGCGAUUUCAUCCGGUGUCGUCUCCUGCAGCUUCCUCUCCUUGUCGUCCUCUGUGUCUUCUCUGCCAAAAUCGUCAACGCCUUCCUCUUCGACGAUCCAGAUCCGCAGCUAGGGAUUGCAUUCCGCAGGAGAGGAAUUCCUUUGUCAACUUCCAAGCCAAAACCGGUGUAGAGAAUGCAGAACUGUGUCUGGUGUUGCUGGACCGUUGGAUACUCUUGAUAAAGUUAAGGUAAUGACUAGUUUUGAUGCUAUGCUUAUUGCAUAUUCUAGAAUUUUGAACUUUUCUCAAUGAAACAAGUGUA